AGAGUUUGAUCCUGGCUCGGGAUGAACGCUGGCGGCGUGCUUAACACAUGCAAGUCGAACGAGGAAUUUUAAAUGAGACUUCGGUGGAUUUUAGAAUUCUUAGUGGCGGACGGGUGAGUAACGCGUGGGCAACCUGCCCUGUACAGGGGGACAACAGCUGGAAACGGCUGCUAAUACCGCAUAAGCGCACAGCAUCGCAUGAUGCCGUGUGAAAAACUCCGGUGGUACAGGAUGGGCCCGCGUUGGAUUAGGUAGUUGGUGAGGUAACGGCCCACCAAGCCGACAAUCCAUAGCCGACCUGAGAGGGUGACCGGCCACAUUGGGACUGAGACACGGCCCAAACUCCUACGGGAGGCAGCAGUGGGGAAUAUUGCACAAUGGGGGAAACCCUGAUGCAGCGACGCCGCGUGAGCGAAGAAGUAUUUCGGUAUGUAAAGCUCUAUCAGCAGGGAAGAAAAUGACGGUACCUGACUAAGAAGCCCCGGCUAACUACGUGCCAGCAGCCGCGGUAAUACGUAGGGGGCAAGCGUUACCCGGAUUUACUGGGUGUAAAGGGAGCGUAGACGGCUUUGCAAGUCUGAUGUGAAAGGCGGGGGCUCAACUCCUGGACUGCAUUGGAAACUGUGAGGCUUGAGUGCCGGAGAGGUAAGCGGAAUUCCUAGUGUAGCGGUGAAAUGCGUAGAUAUUAGGAGGAACACCAGUGGCGAAGGCGGCUUACUGGACGGUAACUGACGUUGAGGCUCGAAAGCGUGGGGAGCAAACAGGAUUAGAUACCCUGGUAGUCCACGCGGUAAACGAUGAAUACUAGGUGUUGGGUGUCACAGACAUUCGGUGCCGCAGCAAACGCAAUAAGUAUUCCACCUGGGGAGUACGACCGCAAGGUUGAAACUCAAAGGAAUUGACGGGGGCCCGCACAAGCAGUGGAGUAUGUGGUUUAAUUCGAGGCAACGCGAAGAACCUUACCAGGUCUUGACAUCCAACUAACGAAGUAGAGAUACAUUAGGUGCCCUUCGGGGAAAGUUGAGACAGGUGGUGCAUGGUUGUCGUCAGCUCGUGUCGUGAGAUGUUGGGUUAAGUCCCGCAACGAGCGCAACCCUUGCCAUUAGUUGCUACGGUAACGAGCACUCUAAUGGGACUGCCGUUGACAAAACGGAGGAAGGUGGGGACGACGUCAAAUCAUCAUGCCCCUUAUGACCUGGGCUACACACGUACUACAAUGGCCAUUAACAGAGGGAAGCGAAACCGCGAGGUGGAGCAAAACCCUAAAAAUGGUCUCAGUUCAGAUUGCAGGCUGCAACCCGCCUGCAUGAAGUCGGAAUUGCUAGUAAUCGCGGAUCAGCAUGCCGCGGUGAAUACGUUCCCGGGCCUUGUACACACCGCCCGUCACACCAUGGGAGCCGGUAAUACCCGAAGUCAGUGGUCUAACCGUAAGGAGGACGCUGCCGAAGGUAGGAUUGGCGACUGGGGUGAAGUCGUAACAAGGUA
rnacentral:rRNA from 1 species